rnacentral:rRNA from 1 species
AUUGAACGCUGGCGGCGUGCUUUACACAUGCAAGUCGAACGGCAUCACGGGCUUCGGCCUGGUGGCGAGUGGCGAACGGGUGAGUAGUGCAUCGGAACGUACCGUGUAGUGGGGGAUAACGUAGCGAAAGUUACGCUAAUACCGCAUACGCCCCGAGGGGGAAAGUGGGGGACCGCAAGGCCUCACGCCAUAUGAGCGGCCGAUGUCGGAUUAGCUAGUUGGUAGGGUAAAGGCCUACCAAGGCGACGAUCCGUAGCGGGUCUGAGAGGAUGAUCCGCCACGCUGGGACUGAGACACGGCCCAGACUCCUACGGGAGGCAGGAGUGGGGAAUUUUGGACAAUGGGCGCAAGCCUGAUCCAGCCAUGCCGCGUGAGUGAAGAAGGCCUUCGGGUUGUAAAGCUCUUUCAGACGGAAAGAAAUCUCCCAGGAUAAUACCUUGGGAGGAUGACGGUACCGUAAGAAGAAGCACCGGCUAACUACGUGCCAGCCGCCGCAGUAAAAC